rnacentral:lncRNA from 1 species
CUGCACUUUCCGGGGUGAACUUGUGAGAAGGGUUCUGGCACGUUGGCAUGAACUCUAGUGAUUCAAUUCGAAAAAGUCGUCCGGCACCAGUUGUAAGAGCCAAGGGUUGUGACACAGGGUAAAACAACUCAAUAUGUUCUGAACUUCUACUAAACUAGAAGACGAGGAAAAAAAAAGAAGGUAAAUUAUGCUCAUCAUCCUUCCUCAUGUUUAGAUGAAAAUUCGAGCAACUUAUCGUAUUUAUAUAAUACAACGUAGGAGUAACCUCGUAGUUGAGCGGUGCAUUGCAAAAACAGUCGAAAGAUUCCGUAAGACAGUUAAUGCAGCACUAAGAAGAAAUGAUGCGGAGGUUACCUGGAAAGAUGCGUACAUAACAUAACAUACUUUUUCUCUCUGUAUUGCUUGAACAUGUCGUGUUGCGACGUUAUGACCAUCUCUAAUCCUCUCCACCUUGAAUGUAAUAGGCACUGCAGAGAAGCACCAAAUUUGAUAUAUAAAAACAUAAAUAAAAUGCGAAUCAAUCUAAUCAAGUACGAGCCAAUCAAUAAAUCUAGAAACAAAGCGAGUAUGCUGGAUACGAACUUUAACAUGAGCUAUCUCAACUCCAAAGAUUCAGCAAAUUGAUGCACAUUAACAUCGCUUUGUCAACCAAUGUAGGGAGCGAUGGAUACAAGAAGAGAUUCCACUGAGGACAAAAUACGCAUGAAGGCUGUGAACAUCGAGUGCGGGAUUGACUGUCUUGCACGCAGCUCCUAAAGCCUGCACCAGACCAGGAAAGCGAAUUCACGAGUGAUCAUGACAUUGAAAAUAAGAUGCAAAGCGGAUCCAACGAUCAAACCAAAGGCAGCCCCUUCUUUCUAUAACAAACUAGGAAUACUUGAUGAGUACAGUGUUUCACUGGGGAAAAUUGCUU